GUCCACAACAGUGAGAUCUUCAGACACACGGAGCUGAGCGUGUGCAGUGUUGGGGUCCAGAGUAACAGAAGCUAAGAGAAGAUGAAAAGUCUUGUAAAUUCAAUCAAACACAAAUGUGAGACUAAAAGUGAAUGAGAGUGUGUGUGGCUGCGAUGGGUUGGCACUCCAGGGUGUAUCCUGCCUCGAUGCCCGAUGACGCCUGAGAUAGGCACAGGCUCCCUGUGCCUAUGUAUCCUGCCUCGAUGCCCGAUGACGCCUGAGAUAGGCACAGGCUCCCUGUGACCUGAGAAGGUCGUUGGUCCCAACAGAUUUGUACGGUAAUAUCAGUCUCUUGGAGCCUCCUGUCCCAACAGAACCCCAGACAGUUGAUGAUGGGGAUGAAGAAACCACAGAGAGGCCUACAGAGGUAAUGUUAAUAUUAUGUGUCUACACAUCAAACAAUCUACACAUUCACAAUCUACACCCCGUGAGUGUGGAAGAACAGCAGGAGGAAAGUCCAUCAACUUCUGGUGCACAGAUGAACACAGUUCAGUGAUUUACAGUAAAUGCCACAGUUUAAUUCUGUAGAAUUUUAGAACUACAUCAUGUAACUCUAAUCUACUGUAUUUUCAGUUGCCAGUUAAAGAGUUAUAUAGACUUUUUCUGAUAGAAGAUAGAUAAAAGAUAGAAAAAAGCAGCAAAGAACUGGUAUACUUUGACCGCCAAAUCCAAAAGGCAGAUCGAGAUUCUGAAACAAAAGCUAAAGGUACUGAGUGUAUGGUCACAGGUGAAUUCUAUGAAGUAUUGAAACUAUAUCAAAAUCUACCUUUUUUUUUUUUUGGGAAAUAAAGAACACCAUAUAAA